UAAUGGAAAACCAGUCGAUCCGAGUAGGUACUAAUGGAAAAGGGGAUAUAGUCUGUUCCCUUGUAUCCUGGUUGUCUUGGUCUCGUCUGUGUUCUCCCCAGCCCAUCAUGUCUCCCACGCUCUCUCGCUAUCCCUCACUCUCUGUCUCUGUGUUCUGUUUCCUGUUUUAUUUUGGUAGUCCUUGUCUAAAGUGCAUUGGGUUCAGUUUUGUUUCCCUGGUCUCGUUAUCUUUAAAUUGGUCCUCCUGUGUUCUCACCUGUUUUCCAGCUUCUCGUUAUCCUGUGUGUGUAUUUAAGUCCUCAGUCUCACUUUGCUCGUUGUCACGUUGUCACUGUUAGCUGUGCUUCCCUCAUAGUACAGGACCUCAUAUAGGUAUUUAUAUGGGAACAUAUAAUAUACACACACACACACACACACUUCUAACUAACCACCCUGAGAGAUAAGCUCCAUAACUGCCUAUAUUUUUUGCUUUUUUGGUGUCGCAAUAAUCUGUUUACAAUCUCCUUGCAAGCUCGUCCUCAGAAUCACCUCAGAUUCAAUUCAUGCAAUAAACUUAUUUCGGUCACAUCACUUCAGAGAAACGGGGGCCUCUACACGAGCUUCAUGUAACAUCAUUAGGUCGUGCCAUGCCUGCCACACAGCAGGAUAUGACAGAAUGACGCGACCACACCAUGGACCCAGUGGACGCAACUCGGCAUUCAGGACUGAGCUGCUUUCUUUGCUGCAAAGCAAACAUCCAUUGAGACCGUUUCUCAUGCUGCUAAACUGGUUCCCCCAAAGACUAAAAAUCUGCCCAGGGCCUUCCCAGAGACUGCGUUCGAGGGCUCAGCCAACUCUGGAGGCUGCUCUAAUUUAAAGACAUUGGGGGUCCAGUGUCAGCUGGGUGCCCAGCCGAGCUGACCAAGCCUCUAGUGGCCCCGCACCUCUGCUUGCCGCAGCUCCCAGGCCGCCGCCUGAGUCGGAGGGAGCAGCGACAGCCUGCACUGUCUGGUCCUGCUCUGAAAGGGGUCUACACUCUGCCAUCUGGUCGUGCUCUGCCUGCGUCAGUGGUCACUGCACCUCCUGACCCUGCUUGGUCUGGACCUACUCUGCCCAAGGGUCUCCAUCUCACUGCCGUCAGCCUCCAGCCAAGCCGCCCGUGGAUCGCUGUCUCACCUGAUGUUGGCCUCUAGCCAAGCCAAUGGAGGGUCUCCGUCUCCACUGCCAUCAGCUUGCAGCGGAAAUGCCCGAUGGUCUCCAUCUCCACCAACAUCGGCCUCCAGCCAAGCUGCCUAAAGAUCUCCGUCUCUGGCAACGAAGACGCGACCCUUCAGGAGGCUGUGGAGACAGCCUCCAACCCCGUCACCAGAGGAUUGUUGAUGCCGCCUUCAGUCUCCAGUGCUGUCGCCUAAGGGUCUUCUUCAUCUCUGUCAACCUCCACCCACUCUGCCUCCACUGUGGGUGGCCUCCUGAUCUGCUCUGCUUCACCCAUCGGUCACAUGGUCACCCUCCAGAACUGAUCCAUGCCGCUGGGGAGCCCAACAAGAAUCCCAAAGGGCGUGUGGCUCAACGUGAUGAUUCUGACCGCAAUUCUUUUAAAAAAGUUUUUCUUUUACUUUUAAAAAGAACUUUGCGAUUUAUCUGUGAUGUCUUAUGUCAUAUUUUUUAUGUCUUGCUAACUGUUGCUAGAGAUGAUGAAAAUAUCUCUGCCGUUGUUACUUUCCUAUAUUUCUGUUGUUUCUGGUUGUUUUAAAAAAAAAUUGAGAAUAGCAACACUGAUUUAUUUUCACAUUUUGCUUUACUGUUGUAAAAUGAAAAAUAGUCUAGCAUUAAUUAUCCAAAAUGUCCCUGAUAGAAUUAAAUGAAUAGAAAUACAAACUUUUUUUGUUCCUAAUUAAGCUUAAUACAUGUCUCUAUCUGUGAAAGCAGAAGAGGAACAGAUGCAGAAUUAGCAGUAGCUGUUCUUUUUCGACAGACAUUUCCUGCAAUAACUGUUCAAAGAGCCUCUUCUCUGUCGUUGGUACAUAAUAUGUGUUAAAAUUCAACAUUUGUCCCUCAUAUCCAUGAGGCUUGAGCUACAGUCAUUUGCAUUGCUUGCAAUGUCAAUAAUGUGGUCCACCCACCAGCUAUGAAUAAAUUUACCUACCCAAACUGGCUCAUUAUAAAAUCAAGGACACCAAGUAGACGCAGUAUUGCACAUGUAGCCGCUAUGUGGCUGUUAGCUGACCUGGUGCCUUUGAGCUGACUGCACUCAUAUUCCACAGGCAUCCCGGAUGAACCCUUUGAUCAUAUGAUCUCUUCUAUGGAAUAUUAGCCAGCUCACCCUGAGGCAUAUAGUUUUAAAUCUAAGAUUGGAUCACCUCCUACAGCUUGUGCACAGCAGAGUGGGCAGAAGCUGCUGAUUGCUGCUUGUCGUUGUCUUUGUUGGCAUAGGGUAGAAAAAUUGCAAUGUGCAAAAAGUUAAAGAAAAUGAGAAGCCGGUGUCAUCUAACAGCAGCUGAUCUAUCCUAAAUCCAGCACAAUCAUAGCUUAACAGCAGAUGUUCCUGGAGGUAUUAAAGAAUAGAUGGACAAAAUACAACGGAGUCUGGCAUUUAUUAUCACUUUUAAUGUUGUGAAGACAUAGGAAUGUGUGCUGCUUGUGAAGUAGUUUACUCAAGACUUAAUGUCUGAUUGCUCUAAAUAGGCUUUCUAUUGG